UACGAAGGGGGCUAGCGUUGCUCGGAAUCACUGGGCGUAAAGCGCACGUAGGCGGAUUGUUAAGUCAGGGGUGAAAUCCUGGAGCUCAACUCCAGAACUGCCUUUGAUACUGAUAGUCUUGAGUAUGGGAGAGGUGAGUGGAACUGCGAGUGUAGAGGUGAAAUUCGUAGAUAUUCGCAAGAACACCAGUGGCGAAGGCGGCUCACUGGCCCAUUACUGACGCUGAGGCACGAAAGCGUGGGGAGCAAACAGG
rnacentral:rRNA from 1 species